rnacentral:lncRNA from 1 species
GCCGCCCCGGCUGCCGCCUCCCCCCCCGCCGCCGCUGAAGGACGAGCCGCAGAUCGUGCCCGAGGUGCCGAGCUUCGGAGAGAGCCCUCCGCUGUCCCCCAUCGAUAUGGACACGCAGGAGCGCAUCAAAGCGGAGCGGAAACGGCUGAGGAACCGCAUCGCCGCCUCCAAGUGCCGCAAGAGGAAACUGGAGCGCAUCUCCCGCCUGGAGGAGAAGGGACAAUCCAUGGCCAGGAAUUAACAACAUCACAACCCCAGCCCAGCUCGUCCGUAGGUGUCACCACGUGGAUACCUGACGUGCUUUCACUCAGCUCAGGGGCAACUGAACCACAGAUAUUGGCACAGGACACAACUCCCAGCAAAGAGAGCCCAGCAGCACCUGCAUCUCCACCGCACACCACUGCAACACCAUCUUCACCUGCGGCCCCAAGCACUGCAGCAGCUGCACCUCCCUCCAGCCCUGCAGGAACACCAUCUCUGCCCAUGACAUCGGGCUCAGCUCCACUGACCACGGCCCCGUCCAACACCCCCGCCACAUCGGCCCCAUCCAGCCCGACCACGGUGCCCAACCACAUGUCGUCCUCAGGCACAGCGCCGGCCCCAUCCUCUCCUGGGCAGCCCACCCCCCCUCCCAGCCCUGCUGUGCCCACCGCCAGCCCCGCUCCUGGCACUGCCUCGGCUCUCAGCUCCAGCACUGCACAGCCGCUCGGGACCAGCAGCCUGGCACAGCCCUCCUCCAAAUCCAACCCCGGAGUGGUGGUGGUCGUCUGCCUCUUCGUGGCUGUGCUGGCUGGGGCCGUGGCCAUGCUGCUGGUGCGGCUGUGCCGCUGCAGGAAACCCCACUUCCAACGGCUGGACGAGGUGCCCAUGGGCAAAGUGUCAGAGGACUCCCCCUUUGCCCGUCACCCCCCCAGGUGACCCCGCUGUGCCGAAUAAAGACGCUGCAGCCCUGGCUUUGGUUUCCCA